CUCUUGGGACCCCGGGCUGCCUGAGAGAAGAGCCUGAGGGAGGGGGAGUCCGGGAAGAGAAGACGGAAGUGGGGCGAGGACAAAAUGGCUGCGAAGGUUGUUGCGCCCCUCCCCCACACGACCCUCGGUCCUUCUCCCUGAGCCCGGCGGUUUCCCGGCCUCGGGCUUGGUCCACCCCAGCCUGAGACUAAGGAGCACUGCUAGGCUUCUUGUUUCGUGCUGCCAGCUUGUGGGAGGCUAAGCCGCCGCGCUAUCUCGCUGGCUUUCCCCACCCCUCACCCCCCACAAAAUGGGACACCUCGAUUCCCCCCCCCCCCAGUGCGGAGGCUCGAUCUGCCUGGCUCGCCACAUGUCCCCAGGAUCGUUUGUGAUCCUCUAUCAAAGAAAUGGCCCAGUCCUCUCUGCUUACCCCUGAGCCGAACGCCCCUCCCCACCUCCGCUGUCCCACAGGGGACAGCGUGACCUCUGUCCCCUCUCUGCUCCACCAGACUCAUCAGUUAAUGGAAUAAAUGUACGAAAGAUAAA
rnacentral:lncRNA from 1 species